ensembl:lncRNA
CAACGGCAGCGGACAGGCAGCAAACGCGCAUUGCAUCUUUCCUACUGUGUGGGAGGGUUGGGGAGGAUUCCCAGGGUGCGGGCUGCAAGCACUUCCCAAAAUCUCAAGAUGAGGAUGGCUGAUGCUGCCUUGCAGGGCUUCACACGUUCAGAAAAUAGAAUUUGGACUUCCACUCUCUAAGAAUCAUUCUUUCGGCUGUUCAGAAAUCCCCUAUAAUCGUUUGGGAUCCCCCUACAGUGGAGACCCUGAGACAAGGAUUCAAGCAUAAGAGGUGUGUUUGGGAGGUGCAGAGAACACCAGUAGGAGAAUGGGAAGAGGGCAGAAAGGGAAGGCAGCUAAUAAAGAGUCAGUGACCUAACCAGCUGCCAAUGUGGGUGACGGAGCUUAAUCCUGCUGGGGAAACUCUGGGGCUCCGUGUACAAGAUAGCCCUCAGUGGUAGCUCACCUGGAAGGUACAGGGGUCAGGGUGUUCAUCACCAAUGCUCAUCAGUCGUUGGUUGCAGGAUGCUCCUCCAGCAGGUAUUAAUUCCCUGGCACUCUCUGCCUGCCAUCAGAUAGUGGGGUGCAAGCCCAGGGACAGCAAAAUACCAGUGGUGGUAGCUGGCAGCUGGAGUGGUGUACGUGGAUUGGUAAGAGCCAAAAGAUGCUGUAGGAUACUGACAAAGUGUUCCACAUCUUCUCACCUCUAGGCAACGUCCCAUAAUGCACAUAUAGGGGGCUGUGGAUUGUAAUGACUGAGGGCAAAGCCCUUUAAGAACAGGAUCCAGGAUAUAAAUCAGUGACCGAGGAGGCUGAAGAAAAAGAUACUGAAAAUGGUGGUGGAUACACACGAAUGCUAACGCCUCAUACCACCCAAUUCUGCGCUGAUCCAGUCUUGUUAGUCCUGCAGCGACGACAGGAGAUAAAAGAGGAAGGGUGCAGGGCUGUUUCUAACAGGUGGGGUGGGCGAGCCUGACCCCAGUCAGAGGCCCACGGUCUGUCUGGCGCAGUUUCACUGGGACUUCAGUGGGAGAAAGCAGGAGGGAUAAGGAAGGAUGGGAGAAAGGCGGAGAUAAGACAGGAAAUGACACUUGCCGAACACCUACUGCAGGGCAGCCUUUUCCGUUCAUUACCUUAUUCUAGGCUCACAACAGCCCCUCAGGAUCGGCAGAGGACCCCUGAGAUGGCCAUUCGGGUGUUGUCUGCUCAGAAUGUCAUCCCCUUCUUCUGGGCAAUGCUGCUUUAGACCACAAGGUAUGGUGGGGGCUGCCGGUCAUUGGCCUCCACCAGCCUGGCCACAGAGACUGCUCCAGAGAUGUACAUGUGAACCAGCAUGACCCAAGAAGUGGUCUUCCCUGGGUUCUCCAACGCGGAGUAGGGAAAGAGAGCCUUUCAUCUUUGGUCAUUCAACUCUGACAAUAUAAAUUUGAAAUAGCUGGUGACUAUGAGUCCUUACCCUUAGGAAAGAAAAACACUGGUAAGUCCCGAUAAUGCUCCAAUCCCUCGAUUGUGUACAUGAACCAAUAAAUUUCCCUUUUUCUGUUAGAUUACUUCAGGUGGUUUCUGCCACUUGCAACUUAAAGAAUGAUGACUACUGUUUGCCCUGGUUUUCUGGAUCCUACCGUGAGAGGCAUGGGCCCUGCAUUUCCAGGAUAAGAUGGAGGAAAGAGACCCAUCUGCCUCAGAGAGAAGGCAGAGGGCUCACUCAUCUCAUGUGUAUCCUAUUCCGUGGCAAUAGGCUUUGGCUAGCUCUCAUGCAGGUAAGAGGCGUUCGUGUGACCGAAGCUUCCUUCCGUAAGUCAUCAGAAGGUGUCGGCCCCUCUUUCUCACCUCAAUACCGUGACAGUCCAUACUUCCUGACAGCUGACAGGCACGUUAUCAGGGAGAAAGGAAAGAGCAAGCUUUAUUGCCACUUCAACCUUGGAGGUCAUCGUCCCAAGAGGUCUCCACAUCUUUUGACACUUAGCUCCAUCCAGAGCCCUGGAGAUGUAAAGGUAUUUCUAGGCUGGCUUUACUUGCCCUUUUGGCAGCAGGACUUUCACGUGGGUCUUCCUCAAUGACCAGAUUCAGUCAAUCAGGUGAAUUCCAAAUUAUGAAAAUCCAGUUGGUACAAUUUGGGGUAAAAUAAAAAGCAGAACAUUUUACAGUAAAAGGAAAGACAGGUUAUCCUCCUGCUUAAUAUAUGGUAAAUUUAGAGUAUCUAAUAUUGGGAAAAUAGUAACCACAAUAAUUUUGAAUCUGUAUCCCUUCUAAGUGUGGAGUCCAGAGUAAGUGCCCUAUUUCCAUUUGAUGUCAACCUCAG